ensembl:snRNA U6 U6 spliceosomal RNA
GUGCUUGCUUUGGCAGCACAUAUACUAAAAUUGGAACGAUACAGAGAAGAAUAGCAUGGCCCCUGCACAAGGAUGACACCCAAAUUCGUGAAGCAUUCCAUAUUUUU